AGUCGCAGUUCUCAGUGGGCGUUAGUACCGUCUCUCCGUUAGCGUCCGUAACGUGAUUUAUUCACGAUUAUGUCAGUGUUUGAGUGCGGUUCAGAAGCGACGGAGAUUCUGCAGAACAGAAUAAUAUAAAUGAUCUCCAUAUAGAUCAGCUUUAUUAAUUCAGAUUCUACACAGCUCUACAACAACGUGCAGAACAUGCUUUUGUUCUUUCUAUUCUUAUUGUUCGUGGACGGUGUGUCUGGUGCAGAGACGGAUGAAACCGUGAUGGAGGGAGAUUCUGUCACUCUACACACUGAUAUUACUGAAAUACAAAACGAUGAUACGAUACUGUGGCUGUUUGGACCUAGAGACUCUGUCAUAUCUCAAAUAGCAAGAAAGGCAGAUUUGACUUCAUUUUUUUUCACUGAUGAUGCUGGAUUCAGAGGCAGAUUGCAGGUGGACCAAAAGACUGGAUCUCUGACCAUCAGAAACACCAGAAUCAGACACUCGGGACAAUAUAAAGUAACGGUCUCUAGAAAAAAAACUGCGACAAAAAUAUUUAAUGUUACUGUCUUUGCGGUGGCUGGUGAGACGGAUGGAGUGAAGUCAGAGUCAGUGAUGGAGGGAAAGUCUGUCACUCUACAGAAUAAUGUUGAAGUCCAGAGAGAUGAUCUAAUAGUGUGGAGGUUUGGAGAUAAAGGCAUCCUCCUGGCUAAAAUCGAUCUGGAAACUAAAGAGAUCUCAUUAAACGAUGCUGAUGAGAGAUUCAGAGACAAACUGCAGCUGAAUCAGAAUGGCUCUCUGAUUAUCAAGAAGACCAAAACCGAACACACUGGACUUUAUGAGCUACAGAUCCGAGGCCGUGAAAGCGAUCAGCGUUUCCUUCUUUCUGUGACUGCUGUUACAGGUCCAGGUCUGUCUCCAGGUGUUUUAGCAGGGAUUGUUGUUGCUGCUCUGCUUGCGGCUGCAGUUGUGAUUUACUGUUGCUACAAGAUCUGUAAACCAUAAUAUCCAGGUGAGUAUUACAGCUGAUACAGUGUAGCCAGUUGACUGAAACAUCUGUUUAAUUUGAUAUUUUUUUUCAUCUCCAAGGAGAAAUGUUCUGUAAAUUUAGUUAACUUCAGCAAAACUUGUAUUAAAUUAAUUUUUAUUAAGUUCUAUUUUCAAUGGUUCCGAUCGGGAGUUUCUAUCAAUUGUUGUAGGUGGGGCCUUAAUUAGUGAGACACCGAAGGGAAAUGUAUCGCUUCUCCUAUUUGUCCUUGGGGUCAAUAUGACCCCAAUCGACGUUUCUUGAGUAAAAAAAAAAAUGGUUCCCUUCAUCUCAGUGGAAUAAAAUUUUUAGACUUUUCCUACUUUAUCUGUCUGUACACACACACAAAAAAACUGGGCUUGAUUCAGUUAUUCUAAAGGCAUGUAAAAAAAAAAAAAAAUAUUAAUGUUGUCUUUGGGGUCAGUAUGACCCCAAUUGAAAAUGAAUGGGAAAUGCGUUUUUUUUUUUUUUUUUUUUUUUUUUUUUUUUUUUUAAAUUUGUCAAAUAAAAUCAAUAAAUCCGGCAUAAAUCCAAAAAAUUUCAUACCACAACGAAGGCAUACACACACGUGCGUGCGCAUGCACAAACACACACAGGGGUGUGACUGCAAUAGAGAGCAUUUUUAUAGAAAUUGGCAAAUAAAAUCAAUAAUUCAUGCAUAAAUCAGAAAAUUUUCACACAUAAAUGAAGGUCUAGGACUAGCUUUUUUCUAACCAACAGAUGGCAGAAUUCAGCUUCUAAUACUUAGAUCAAUAUCCUGAAACAACUUAUAUUUAUUUUUUUACUCUGUUUAAGGUAUGUUGUUUCAAUCUGUGAUCAUUAAUUUAAAUGUUUAUUUUGUAAUUUGAAUUUAUUUGCGAAUUAAUUUGGAAUGCAUGUGUACUUAAGUGUGUACUAGGCAAUCUCUAUACUAAUUGCCUUGUGGUAUAAUCUCAUGCAGUGACACAGUGUGUUUGUGCCAAAAGGAGAACUUUAUUGUACACAGUGAUUUAACAACCAGGGUUUAAUGCAAUUUAGAGUUUAUAGUACACGUUACAUGCAUUCCUAUGAGUCUAUAGCAUAUUUGAAUGUUAACUUUUACAAAUGUUAUGUAUUUACUAUUACGAUUUUAUUUGCGUUUUCAUGUUAUGUGAGAUAAUUAAGCACUACAUUUACUCAUGUUAAAUAUUUCUAUAUGUAACAUCCUUUAAGCGUUCGUGCUCAGACGCACAGUGUAUGGUAACGGAGAAGCAGAGGAAUGAGAGAGUAGGCCUUCUGAUGUCUGUGUAUACUAAUAUUGCCUCACGCUACUCUGUUUAAGGAAUAAAUCCAUCUGCAUCCAUCAUCCCAUUUGUGGUGUGGUUGUGUUUCCGUGGUGUCUGGAGGUUACCACUUGAAGUCUGCUACAACAGCAUGACGAAAACAGAUUUACUGUGCUACAACAGUUGGAGGUUUCUGCAUCAUUGAUAAUGCUAUAAUAGGUAAUUGUGGGGGAAAUUUUGAGUUUCUGUAUAAUUUCCAUAUGAUUUUACUUAUGCUUAUGGUUAAAUGAUUUUGUUAUUCUCAGAAGUGUUUAAGUACACAUUCUUUGGGUGACAAGUGGAAAACACUGAAGUGGUAAACGUUCCUAAUAUGGUAAAAGGACAGAGGCUUCAGCCUUGGAGGUCAGAGAUAUAAAGUGAGGGGAAGCUUUCGUUCUUUGUCUUACACUCUGCGGCUACUUGUGUUUCUGUAUGACUGUCUGACCUUUCUUGAAAGAAAUAAAACCUUUAAAGACAAUUGGAUGUGUUUAUCUCUUAUGCAGUAGAGUCAGUGUUGAUUUUUUGCCACAACAAUUUGGUGUCAGAAAGUGGGAUUCCUUGGAUGUGCCUUUUGGACCCGAGAGCGGAUGGUGACUGAUCAUCCUGGACUUAGUAGUCUCAGCCCUACCCCGAAUAGAUUGAGGGAUGAGGGGCCGACCGCCAGGGUCCAGAAGGGGACACCACUGGAAUCAGUAAACGAACCCAGGUGGCAUCACGACUCUCUGGUAAGAGAUAAAUUAUAAAUUUUUAUGGCAGAUUGAAGUUUUGAAAUUUUGUGAUUAA